GGGAAGCAGAGGAGUUGGGAGCUGGCGGUCGUUCCCGGGGAAGAACUGCUAAAACAUGAGACCAAGGCACAGACCUUACUGUAUGAGAAGCAAUGCUCCUCAAACCUUCUGCGUGCUGACAUAGACCUUCCCAGAAGCAAAACUGUUGGCGGCGACCUGAGCGCUGGAAGCCGAAGGGGAAGAGGAAGGAGACGCGAAGCCAGGGCGGCCGGCACAAAGGCGGCGGACUCGCGGCGGCAGCGCCUGCCCGGCCGGGAGCACAACCCACGGCCCUACUCCAGCGAAGUCCCGCACCGGCUUCUAGGAAUAAAGUUUACGUUCUCCUGAGGCCGCACCCCCCACCUCCCACCCAGGACGGCACAUCUCCGUGUCCUCCUCCCCCAAACUCCACUCGGGACCCCGAGAACCACCCCAGCCUUCCGGCCACCACAACAAAGAGCCGCACCGACCGGCGAGGAUAAACAGCGGCGGAGGGCGAGAGGGCGGCGGGGCGAGCGCCUCCACGCAGCAACUCCGGAGUCCCCCGCUUGCCCGAGCGCAGUUUCUCCGCUGCUGUUUCCACCGGCUUUGUAACACUGGGAAUUUACAUCCUCACCCGCACCCCUCACGCCCGAGGAUUUUAAACUCACCUUUACUCUCGAACUGAGAGUUGCGGUAGAUGGGAUUUUUGCCUUUUCCCCAGAUGGUUGAAGGUUAAGAUUUUUGGAAACCCCACCACCUCCUUAUUUCUAUUAUUAUUUCUGCAAGAAAAGUAUAAAGAGAGUUGUAGUGGAGGUGAGAUUUGUGAUCGGGAAAGCCUUCGACUCCCUCCUUCUCCGUCUUCCGCCUCUCUCUCUCUGAUUAGUUCCUAUCCAGCAGCAGAUUGAAGCAGGAGAUGAUUCUUCUCAAGGUUUGUUCAGCAGCUUCACUUCUAGGCGAAGGCUUCAUGAACCAAGUGACGUCAACCAACAAGGCUUCUCUCUCUCUCCUCUCUCUAACAAUGAAAGUUGCUGUUAACAAGGGAAAAAAAGAGAGAGAAUUGUUUAUACCAUUUCAGUUCCAAUAAUAAAUGACCUAUCAGCUCCUAAAGGAGCCAAGGGAGGGGGUUGCUUCUUCUUUCCAAGAAUACUGUAGCUUUGAGUUUGCACCGUUCCUUGUCCCAGGAAAAAGUUAAGAAACUUAAAAUGUUUUGUUUUGCUUUUAAAGAAGACAGGACAGAAAACGGGAUUUAAAACUUAGUUUUUAAAAAAACAAAAGCUACAGAGUAGGGAGCAUAGGUCAACCAUCUCCACCUAAAUUUUUUUUGUUCCUAAACUCAGAAUUCUACAACCCAACUAAAUUAAUAUGCCAAGAUUUUGCGGAUGUUAAAACUCAAAAAAAGCAGUAUGCAAGACGGUCCCGGGGUAAAAUUCUACUGCCUUUCCACGGACAAGUUAAACUGGCUGUAAUGUUUAUGCACUAAGUUAAAAUAAAAUUUAAAUAAAAGACGUUAAAAUAGUCGUUUUAAAGUUAUAUGCACACACUGUAAAAGGUAAUCUCGAUAGCUUUUUUUCAAGUUUCUGAGAGAUUAGAAAAAAAGCAUAGCAAAUUGUAGGCACUGAACACUUUUUAAAAAUCAAGUUAUGAGUAAGACUGGUAGCCCUUUGCUCCUUUAAACUACAAAUGCAGUCAUAUGCUAUGGUCUACCCCCAGAAUCUCUUCCAACUUUGUUUUUACCCUUCCACUCCCCCAACCCCAAUUCCCAAAUCCUGCAACCAAUCAAGUUAAACUAAAGAUACAAUAGGCCCCAUUCCCUCCCGCACCCCAUCCUAUAGAUUCCUAAAAACAAUUUUUUUAAAAGCCUUAAUCUUGAUAACACUUUAUUAGCCAAGAAGAUACGUAUUUUUUUUUUUAGAAGUUCGUUGAGGUACCGUUUUUUCCCUCCAGAACACAAGAAAGUCUCAAAGUUCAUAUAAUUAAAAAUUGCAUAAUUUAAUUUUCAGGAUGAAGAGUAAGUAAAAAUUAAGCUAUCGGAGAAUAAUUUGAUCAUCUAUGUAUAUUUUAUACAUAUGUGGAUAAAUGUAUCUUAAAAGAUGCUAUUGUUUUAUGUUUCCUCUUCAGCCACUGGCUGUGAUUUUAAUUGUGCUGGAGGAUCUUCAUUAGUAUUAACACAUGGGGAGAUUUCACAAAGCUGCUUCAUUAGGAAAAAAAAAAAGCUUGGCAGACUCGGUCUUUUUGCAUGCACUGAGAAUGUCAGCCUUACCUCGGUCAUUUGUAACAUAAUAAGUGCAAGUACAAUGAUUGCAAUGCAGGAGCACUGGGGGAAGGGCAGAAAUACUGCCUGUCUAAUAGGGAUAUCUGAAAAGAAGGCUGCUCAUUACAGAGUAAAAUGUAUGCUAAAAAUUAGUGAAGAUGAUGUCUCAGGAGACUGAUGCUAAAUAAAUUAAUGUGCUGAUAUGUUUUUAAUUAUUAUUUUUGUAGUAGUUUAUUUCAUUCUCAGGAUUCACAUUGAGCAGCAAAGCUGUGCUAGCACUUAUUGAUUUUUUUUCCCUGCCACAUUCCCGGAAUACAGAUUUUAAUCAUUUCACUACACCACACUCAGUAAUUUCAUUAAAAACUGGAAUCUUCCAUCCCCAGAAAAGC
rnacentral:lncRNA from 1 species